AGUGAAGGUACGACCAACGUGAGGUUUUGAUUUACACAAGGAUGAUAUUAGACAGGAGAAGAACUUAAAUGUCAGAAAAAUCAUCAUUAUGACAAAUACUGCAAUAAGUAAGAAAUACAAUAUUUUCUUAAUUAACAUACUGAGCCAUGUAUCAAGACCAAAGGUCCAAUCCCAGUCCCCAAAGAACCCUGUAGCUUAUUUCAUUUCCUUCACUAGAUCGUGCAGAUUCUGUAUAUGCUCAUGUAUCAUGGUCCCAUGAUGCGAAAGAUUAAAGCAGCAC